rnacentral:lncRNA from 1 species
GCGGGGAGCCCCUUCUCUGGGAGCAAACAGGCCCGGUUCUGGUUAUAAAAAUCCACCACUAGGAAGGGAUUAGGGGUGGGACCCCCCACUUCUACACUCUCGUACAUCUUUCCCCUCGAAGGCAAGAGGUCCGAGCUGGGAAGUCCUGCGCGCCGCCCCCGUCACUCAGCCGGCGGCGCCAUCCGAGCAGAGCAGCUGGGGGAGAGGAGACGUCCCCUCGCCCCGACUGGUGACCCGGGCAGGGGGCGCCCCCUGCCCUGAAGUCCCCGCGUCUAAGUCCGCCGGCCGCUCCGCCAGUCCCGGUGAAAAGCAGGGAAGUUGUGUGUGCUGGGAGGGGGGGUCCGUCGGCUCUCCCAGGGAAGCCUGGCGGGGCCCGGGAACUCAGCGGCUUCACCUCGAGGGGACUCCCGUCUAGAGUCUCGUGGCGUCCGAGGCAGAGUACAGCGGCUCCCCAAGUCCGCAGGCCGGGGGCGGGAUCAGCGCGGGGCUGGGGGUCAACGAGCACUUCCUCCUCCCAGCCGGGGAUCCGGGGCUUCUCCAGGGAUUCUCCGUGGCGAGGAUUCCGGGUGGGGGUGGGGAUCCCGCGCGGUUCCGCCCCCGCCAGGCCAGGGGCAGCUGGCGACUCGCUCGGUCUCUGGUGGUACGCGCCACGGCCCCCCCACCCCAGCUCUGCGCGCCCCCUCCCCUCCGGGCACCACCCCCUUUCCACCGCCCCGCCCCGUCCAGGCACCGCCCCUGGCUUAACCCAUUCCCGGCGCGUCCGGCUGCAGCGGGAGAAACGCAGGGAACCGAGAGGGAGAGGCGGCAUGUGGACAGGCCGGGCCUCAUUUGCCUAAUGCAAUGCGGCUGAACUCUCGCUGAACUCGCCUGGCGGCGCCUCACCUCCGAGUGACCCACCCACCGCUGCCCGUGACAUCACCCGCUCGCCAGCCCGCCCGCGGGGCUCGCCCGCCAGCCCCCUGCCCGGCCGAACCGGGCCACCUCCCCCGGAGACGCGGAGAGCGGCGGCAGGAGGCGUAGGGCCGGGUCGCGCGGGGCCAAGUGUUUGGCACCCGGGUGUGACAUUGUGCAGCUCGGACGCUGUGUCGGAAUGAGACACCGGCUUGUGUCAUUGUCUGUGACAUCAUGUGUGACUCCGGCCGCCGGAACCCGACGCGGCAGCGCGGGUGCUGUUGGCACAAACACAGGCAGAGGGGGCCCUCCUCCCCACGCUCUGCGUGCUUCCGGCGAGCAAAGCCCCGCCCAAGGUGUCUCCUAGCUGGGGAACCAGUACCGGCCCCUGGUGCACUGUCCAGCUCUGGAGAGAUAAAAGGAAGAGCUGGUGCCUUCCAGUGGACUACUUCAUCCUAGAAGCCCUCGGGAUGCACGUUUCACUGGAAGAAAGGCCUAGCUUGGGUAGGUCCCUAGAAAGAGGGGAUACCCCUGGAGGAGGGGGUAUCCUAUUACCCCCACUCUCUAAAAGGAAGGAUGGAAAUGUACAUGCUACCCAAGGACAUUCUUCUAGAAGAAGCCUGGCUCUUUAUAUAUGUUGUCAUUUUAUCCUCA